ACCUCAUUUGUAGGUGUGCACGCAGCGGUAUGAGCCGCAUUAACGGUUACGGAUGAAAAAUAAAGAAUUAUAAAGAGACGCUUGUUGGGUGUAGAGUAAUAGGUUCCUGCCAUUGCUGUGCAUGGCAGGCCCCAAUGAUGGUGUAAACAGCAGGGUGGAGGCGCCAUGACUCAGGCUGCAGGAAUGAGGCAGUUUUUUGGGAACAGGAAGUCUCUUCCUGCUGCUCGCUGCCAGUGCCUUUCACAAUAAAAGCAUGCGCGCAGCAGAAGCCCUUCUGGGUCGGAACCUCUUGGACUUUUGGUUCGGGGUCGUUCUGGUUUUUCUGUUCCUCCUUGGGUUCACUUCUUCAUGCAGAACCUUGGUUCUGAUUCCGGUUCGGACCUGAGGCUUUCUGACCUUUCUCCAAAUCAAGAAGGAAAUAGCUUUUAUUUUGGAGGGCCCGCCCUCACCUGGCAGCAGGUGGCCCCGCGCUCCUGGCAUCACUCACCUGGAACCGGUCUGGGCCGGUUCCAGGCCGUCCGGUACCUGGACCAAGACUACGAGGCUCUGAAGCGGCGCUGCCUGGAGACGGGCCGCCUGUUCCCAGCGCUGGGCUCUCUGGGCGUCAACGAACUGGGCCCGAACUCCUACAAAGUUCGAGGGGUUUCCUGGCAGCGACCCACGGUGAGUUCUGACUCGGUUCAGUUCAUCCGGACCGAGAUAGGCGACUGCCAGCUGCCAUCGCCUCACUGACCCUGAACCAGGAGGUUCUGGCCCGAGUCGUCCCGGACGACUCGGGCUUCAGGGACGGAGACUACGCCGGGAUCUUCCACUUCCAGUUCUGGCAGUUUGCUGAGUGGGCAGACGUGGUGAUUGACCAGCUGCCGACCCGAAACGGAGAGCUGUUGUUUGUCCAUUCGGCUGAAGGAGGAGAGUUCUGGAGCGCCCUGCUGGAGAAGGCCUACGCCAAGUAAGAACCCAU